GAUGAACGCUAGCGGCAGGCCUAAUACAUGCAAGUCGAGGGGUAGACGAGUGCUUGCACUUGUUGAGACCGGCGAACGGGUGCGUAACACGUAUGCAACCUACCUUUAACUGGGGGAUAGCCCGGAGAAAUCCGGAUUAAUACCCCAUAAUACUAUAGAAAGGCAUCUUUCAUUAGUUAAAGCUCCGGCGGUUAAAGAUGGGCAUGCGGUCCAUUAGCUUGUUGGUGAGGUAACGGCUCACCAAGGCUACGAUGGAUAGGGGGUCGUGAGAGGAUGAUCCCCACACUGGUACGUGAGACACGGACCAGACUCCUACGGGAGGCAGCAGUAGGGAAGUAUUGGACGAAUGGGCGAAAGCCUGAUCCAGCCAUGCGCGUGCAGGAUGACGG
rnacentral:rRNA from 1 species